rnacentral:rRNA from 1 species
UACUGCAUAAGACUGCAAUGAAGAAUUGUGGUGAAAGACGGCCUAAAUGCUGUCGCUAAAAGAUGAGCUUGCGACCUAUUAGUUAGUUGGCGGGGUAAAGGCCCACCAAGGCGAAGAUAGGUAACCGGCCUGAGAGGGUGUACGGUCACACUGGAACUGAGACACGGUCCAGACUCCUACGGGAGGCAGCAGUGGGGAAUAUUGCGCAAUGGGCGAAAGCCUGACGCAGCGACGCCGCGCGAAGGAUGAAGGUCUUCGGAUUGUAAACUUCUGUUAAGUGGGAAGAAAGACCAGCUGAUAAUACCAGACUGGGGAUGACGGUACCACUAGAGAAAGCACCGGC